AAUGAACGCUGGCGGCGUGCCUAACACAUGCAAGUCGAACGAGAAAGUGGAGCAAUCCAUGAGUACAGUGGCGACCGGGUGAGUAACACGUGACUAACCUACCCUCGAGUGGGGGAUAACUCCGGGAAACCGGGGCUAAUACCGCAUAACAUCGCGAGGUGAAAUUCCUUGAGAUCAAAGGAGCAAUUCGCUUGAAGAGGGAGUCGCGUCUGAUUAGCUAGUUGGUGAGGUAACGGCCCACCAAGGCAAUGAUCAGUAGCCGGCCUGAGAGGGCGCACGGCCACACUGGAACUGAAACACGGUCCAGACUCCUACGGGAGGCAGCAGUGGGGAAUUUUGCGCAAUGGGGGAAACCCUGACGCAGCAACGCCGCGUGGAGGAUGAAGUCCUUUGGGAUGUAAACUCCUUUCGACCGGGAAGAUUAUGACGGUACCGGAGGAAGAAGCACCGGCUAACUCUGUGCCAGCCGCCGCAGUAACAC
rnacentral:rRNA from 1 species